GAAGAGAGAGAACUAGGAAAAGAAAUAGAAUUGAUUAUUGAGCACUCCUAAAAAGCUCACCAUGAUUCUGUGUAGAGCCAAAGUGAAGGAUGAUGGAACAGAGCUCUGUGCAUUAGAAGGAAAUAAACCUGAUGUCCACACAGAGUCUUACUAAUUUCUGUUUUUAAAAUGCAAAAUAAGUUUAGGAAGUGUUGGAAGUUAGUAUUUUGGGAAAGAAAUGGCAGUUCCACAAAACAUUCCAUUCCAUUUAAGAGAGGCCCUUGGACUGAUUCAUGUUGUAACUGCUGUCACUGCAAUCAGUUGGUGGUUCAGCCUUGAAACGUGCACUUGGCCUUCUAUAAAGCACUGUUUUGUUUGCCUUUCAGUGCUAUGAGUCUUGAUAAAUUGGAGAAGUGCCCAAGAGAAAUUCAUCAUCCUGAGAUACAAAAGGUAGGAAGUGACUUUUUUUGGUUUGGUUCUUUUUCUUUAUUGUUUUCUGGAAAUAGAAGUAAUUAAGUAUAGAUACUACUGGUUUGUUUCUUCCAGUAGCUGAUAAUACUAAUACCAAUAAUAAUAAUAAUAAGAGUAAAGUAAUACUACUUAAACUGUCUUUAUUUAUCCAUUGAACUGGCCAUUUUAAAUCUAAACUUCUAAACACAAAUCAAACCAUCAUCCUUGUAGAAUCUUUAAUAGGAGUGGGCUAAAGAUCCUGGUUUUGUUGACAGGAUUUAUUGGUUCAUGAAGAGCAAGAGGUAAGUACAAGCCUAACUACCCUCUAGCUCACAGACCUGCCCGGUGAAUAGAGCUUUGUUUUUUUGAUGGGCUUGUGAUGACUUUGAGAUCAAUUGCUCAUUCAUUACAGUAAAAAAAAAAAUUGUUUUGAACAUGACAGCAAAAAUAACUUUAAGCACAACUUAAUAAUAAUAGAUCACCAAUUUUAGUUAAUAAUUUUAUGCUAUACUCUUGGGUGAGGGAAGACUCGGACACUCAAUAUGAGAUCAGCAAGCUAUGUUUAUUGCAGAGAGUAUCAGACACUUAUACAGCACAUAAUAAGCUUAUGAAUAUUCUGUAAGCCAAGCGAUCUAUUGGUUAAACUAUACCAUCAACUCUUCCUCAUUCCUUUGGGCCUACAUUCCCUAUUUCCCACGUCGCUCUGUCUACUUGUUAUCCUACCCAGCUAGGCCCAGGCACACGCUAUCUUGCAGGUGCAAAACUCAAAAAUACCUGUGUUCGGUACUUUCCCAGCUCCUGGUCGGCUAACGAGCGAAUGUCUGCGUGACCUCUGUCAUGGAGCCAUUUCUCCACACUAUACUAUCAAAGUUUAAAGGGAUCAGUGAAUUUUAACUCUGGAGUCCUCUAUGCUAAGGAUGCUCAGCUUACAGAUGAUGAAAUGUUCAGUAAUGUAUUUGCUGCAGCUCUGCUUACCCAAGGUUUGGGUAAAACAAGCUUUGGGUUCCUUCUGUCUCACUGGGAGUUGCCCAAUUCAGUUGCAUCUGGUGAAAUUCACCCUGAGACCUUACAGAACCAGCUCCAACUACGUGAGAGCCAUUUGCAGUUCUCUCCAGACACCUGGAGAAUGGGCGACGUUUCUGAGGAUCCGGCAAGCGUGCUUCUGUCAAAACUCAGUCUGUGAAAUUUCUGGGGAAAACCCUUCUGUGUCCUGAAGGGUUCAAACUCUGGCGAGGAUCCAGUUAUCAGGUGCUCACCUGGAUGGUUCCAGCUGCCAAAGGUAACACUUGUACUCUUGCCCUGUAGUUUACAUCUAUUGUAUUUUUGUUAUUUUGCAAGAUUUUUUGUCUUUGCAAAAUAUUGUGCAUUUCACUCUUUGGAACCUCUCAGAUGGUUCUUUGGUGCAGCACCACCCCAUGGGACACUUGGCUGCUGUCCUGAAGGGGUUGGUCGCUAGAAUUGUGAAUCCUGGAGAGUUUAUAAGUCUUCUGUCCCCAGGGAGGUAUCAUGCUUGGUUUACUUUUGUUCUGUUAGUUAGGCGCUGCUUCUCGUUGCAAGUAUGAAUUUCAAACUGCCCUGUUCUUUUUUUAACUG